rnacentral:rRNA from 1 species
GACGAACGCUGGCGGCGUGCCUAAUACAUGCAAGUAGAACGCUGAAGAGAGGAGCUUCCUCUUCUUGGAUGAGUUGCGAACGGGUGAGUAACGCGUAGGUAACCUGCCUUGUAGCGGGGGAUAACUAUUGGAAACGAUAGCUAAUACCGCAUAACAAUGGAUGACACAUGUCAUUUAUUUGAAAGGGGCAAUUGCUCCACUACAAGAUGGACCUGCGUUGUAUUAGCUAGUAGGUGAGGUAAUGGCUCACCUAGGCGACGAUACAUAGCCGACCUGAGAGGGUGAUCGGCCACACUGGGACUGAGACACGGCCCAGACUCCUACGGGAGGCAGCAGUAGGGAAUCUUCGGCAAUGGGGGCAACCCUGACCGAGCAACGCCGCGUGAGUGAAGAAGGUUUUCGGAUCGUAAAGCUCGGUUGUAAGUCAAGAACGGGUGUGAGAGUGGAAAGUUCACACUGUGACGGUAGCUUACCAGAAAGGGACGGCUAACUACGUG